GGCGGACUUCAAAGCGGUGGACGUGGAGCAGCAGAGCGGCCUGCAGGUUCG
rnacentral:tRNA from 11 species